AACAGAAAAUAGUCCAAUCAGAUCAAAUAAAACCUCAAACUGAAAAUAAAUUACAAGUGUCUUUAGAGGCGGCAAUCUUUUUCACAGGAAGCUUCACAAGAACAUUUUGAAAAAAAUUGUUUCUUCAAUCUGUCCGAUCUAUCGCGUUUCAUGCUGGGACGAUUUUACAUCAGCAGAGCAGAUUCUUAGGAGUAGAUUUGGUUAGCAUUUGGUUGCUAUUCAAAAUUCUUUUCCUGUUUUCAAUAUAGAUUUCCUUCAAGGAGUAUAUUUUAUACGUUUGACGUAAUGACGGGCAAACGACCUCGCGAGGAGAGUGACGGUCCUGUCUCAAAAAUUGCGGCAGUAAACCCUAACUGGGCACAGCUGAAAGCGAAAUUGAAUUCAUAUCCUCGCAGACGUAAGAGCUCGGAGACAAAUGCAGAUGUUCGGACUUCGGGAAAAAAGCCAGCAGGCAUUGUUUCUCAUGGUGAAACAGAGAAACCGGUAACAACUAUGGAUGGAACAUCAAGUACAUUGGGUUCACUUAAGCCUAUGAAGGAAGAUUUGAGUGUGACAGAUGCGCUAGCCAUAGAUUGCGAGAUGGUUGGGGUUGGCAGUGAUGGUAGCAGAAAUGCACUUGCAAGGGUUACCUUGGUAAAUGUGUGGGGAAAUGCUGUUUACGAUGAAUUUGUUCGGCCGCUAGAGUUCGUUACUAACUUCCGCUCAAAUAUCAGUGGAGUUCGAGCUCAUAACCUGAGGAAGGCUGAGGACUUGUGGACUGUUCAGAAAAAAGUAUCAGAAUUAAUUAAAGGCCGGGUUCUCGUAGGCCAUGCAUUGCACAAUGAUUUAAAGGUAUUGUUUUUGAGCCAUCCAAAGAAGGAUGUAAGAGAUACAUCUGUUUAUAAACCUUUAAGAAGCAAGAUGCAUACUUUCUUGCAGCAAGCUAGGGCGGCCCAGAGCACUACGUGAUUUGGCAGCUGAAAUAUUGGGUGUGAAGAUCCAAGAGAAUGAACAUAAUUCUGCUGAAGAUGCUCGGGCAGCUAUGUUCAUAUAUCAGAAGUUCAAAAAGGAGUGGGAAAAGAGCAUUAGGUACAAGGGAAAAUUACUGGCUAAGUGAGCUUUUGAAGAUUAUUUCUCAUUCAUUUCUAAAUGUAAGUGGGUUGGUUAAGAAGAUCCAAGUCUUUCGGAACAUUUGACAAAUGCUAUCAACAUUCUAACAAGAAUGCCAUGAAAAAUACAUUUAUGCAUUAUCUUUCUACUGGCUGCAUUUGAAAAUGAGAGAUGGAAUCAUCUCUGCUUCCAAUUAGGAAGUUGAAGAAUGCAAUAGCGGUUGCUAGAGCAUAGAGAAGAAGAGUCUUUAGAAUGAUUAUCCUGUUCUCAUCUUUGAUAAAGAUGAAUUUGUAUUAUAUGAUCUUCUAUUGUGAUAAAUCUAGACCACAUUUGGGUAGAACAUUGUCAUUUGUCUUUACAUAUUCUAGUCCAUCUAUUAAACGAAUGUAUCUUUUUCCCAA